rnacentral:lncRNA from 1 species
CCCUGGCCUUGAUUGCUAACAAGGGUGGAUGCAUAGGUGGUGCCAUUACGACAGAGGGAAGAAAAGUUUCGCAAGGAGAGAGAGACGAAAGGUAGGGUUCAACUGACCUUCAGACUCUAUUUAUAGAUGUCAAUGCCUACAUCAACCACCAACAAUAGCUUGAAGGAAUACAGCCAUCAAUCAGGCAAUAAAUGGUCUAUUUUCCCACUACCAGAAAUAAAUCCAAGCGAUGCUUCGGGGAUCAACGCAUGGCCACAUGGCAUAUGCUUAUAGGCCC